rnacentral:rRNA from 1 species
UACGUAGGGUCCAAGCGUUAUCCGGAAUCACUGGGCGUAAAGCGUGCGUAGGUGGAUGUUUAAGUGAGAGGUUAAAUCGUGUGGCUCAACCAUAUCGAUGCCUCUCAUACUGGGCAUCGUAGAGGACAGCAGAGGCAAGUGGGAACUAGUAAGUGUAGCAGUGAAAUGCGUAGAUAUUACCAAGAACACCAAUGGCGAAGGCAGCUUGCUGGGCUACUCCUGACACUGAGGACGAAAGCGUUGGGAGCGAACAGGAUAGAUACCCGUGUACGUCAGACCAAUCAGUC